AUAAUCACCUAAAUGGGGUGGGCUAGCGAUCAUGAAGGACGACUUCCUAGGUUAGUGGUCUCCAUUGCACGUGUAGGAGGUGCACUGACCUAGCGUAUCGUCAAAGAGGAGCUCUCAUGCCAUAAUUUUUUAAGGGGAAAUUCACAUAUGCGUCGUCCCUA